rnacentral:tRNA from 10 species
CAUUACCAAAUGCGAUGCUCUAACCUCUGAGCUAAGCAGGC